rnacentral:rRNA from 1 species
GACGAACGCUGGCGGCGUGCUUAACACAUGCAAGUCGAGCGGUAAGGCCCUUUCGGGGGUACACGAGCGGCGAACGGGUGAGUAACACGUGGGUGACCUGCCCUCAGCUCUGGGAUAAGCCUGGGAAACCGGGUCUAAUACUGGGAUAUGACUCCAUGACGCAUGUUGUGGGGUGGAAAGCCUUGUGCGGCUGAGGAUGGGCCCGCGGCCUAUCAGCUUGUUGGGUGGGGNGAUGGCCUACCAAGGCGACGACGGGUAGCCGGCCUGAGAGGGCGACCGGCCACACUGGGACUGAGACACGGCCCAGACUCCUACGGGAGGCAGCAGUGGGGAAUCUUGCGCAAUGGGCGAAAGCCUGACGCAGCGACGCCGCGUGAGGGAUGACGGCCU